CCUACGGGGUGCAGCAGUGGGGGAUAUUGCACAAUGGGGGAAACCCUGAUGCAGCGACGCCGCGUGGGUGAAGAAGGGCCUCGGCGCGUAAAGCCCUGUCAGCAGGGGAGAAAAUGACGGUACCUGAAGAAGCAGCCCCGGCUAACUACGUGCCAGCAGCCGCGGUAAUACGUAGGGGGCAAGCGUUAUCCGGAUUUACUGGGUGUAAAGGGGGCGCAGACGGCGAUGCAAGCCAGGAGUGAAAGCCCGGGGCCCAACCCCGGGACUGCUCUUGGAACUGCGUGGCUAGAGUGCAGGAGGGCAGGCGGAAUUCCUGGUGUAGCGGUGAAAUGCGUAGAGAUCAGGAGGAACACCGGUGGCGAAGGCGGCCUGCUGGACUGCAACUGACGUUGAGGCCCGAAAGCGUGGGGAGCAAACAGGAUUAGAUACCCCUGUAGUC
rnacentral:rRNA from 1 species